rfam:Schistosoma rodhaini strain Burundi genome assembly, scaffold: SROB_scaffold0001317
AUUCAGCCGACGAGUCCCAAAUAGGACGAAACGUGCGUCCUGGAU